AUCGCUUCUCGGCCUUUUGGCUAAGAUCAAGUGUAGUAUCUGUUCUUAUCAGUGGAACAGAGAGAUACUCUCAGUCCUUAUCAGCUGCCUUCAUCCCUC
rnacentral:snRNA from 1 species